GGUUAAAUAGUUGGCAUACUAUUAUUGCUGAUUACAUUUUUCACAUUUACUUAAUUAGUGAUUACUUCAAUUAAAUUAAUCAACAUAAUAAACAUCAUAUAUACAGAUAAUGUCAAUAUUUUACUACAGUCUACAAUUUAUACAAUUAAUCAAAUCGACACACUAAAAAGCAAUCAGACAAAUAACUGUAUCUUCAAGCAGUAUUCUAAAAAAUUCAGAAUUUACAUAAUUUAUACGUACGAAUAUAAAUCACGUUCUUUAUGGCCGAGGAAACGUAGCGGUAAUUCGAUUCCACGUAACAAAAAUAGUCAGUCUUGUAUUUACCCUAAUACAGGCGUUGCUGGGACUCGCGAUUCAUUAUAAUUAACGAAAACCGUGGUAUGCCAAUACGAUGAUGGACUCAAUUAGAAAAUGGCGUGGUUGGGGGUGGUUGUGUACAUCGAAUGCGCUCUUCCUUCUUCGUCUGUGGUUCAUCGACGAACACGCGCAGGCAUCGCUGGUAGAUAUUUAAUUAAAGUUGUUUGCGCGACCAAGUUUGGAAACUUUGGGAAUAAGUUACCAGCGGGAAUCAGCGAAGGGGCCAUUUAAUUGUCCUCGCGUUUAAUGCGUCGUAUGGCCCGGGAGUUAUACUCGUCAUCAUGUCACCGGAAGUCGCCGGAUGGGUGGGCUGAGUAGUAAACGCGUCAACGGGCAAGAAAAGAACUACACGAGCGUGUUGCGAUUUUGAUGUUGAAAAGUAUCUCGUCCUUAACCCAUUUGCACCGGUUUCUUUUAUAGCGUAGCGUUGGCAAGGUGCUACACGCGAAACGUUAAUUUACUCUGCCGCAUACACAUAUAUACAUGUAUAUAUGUAAAUAUAUAAAUAUACUUUUAUCGCAAUUACACAGGGACAAAUUUUGUACGUCACGCUUUUUUCAUGUUCCUCGAAGUUGGCGGUGAUAUCACAAUGAUAUUUUUAAUUUGCGCCGAUAUCAAAGCCGAAUCCGCGCGUCCGUCGCCGUUGUUUUACGCCGCUCGUAAUUAUACGAAGACACGCUGCAGGCUUCCAUUCGAAUCGUUGAUUUUAAAUGACAGAAUCGAUACCGAUGUAUUAAUAUAAUGGACGUUGGCCGAGGUAGAGUAAGCCUUUCCUUUCUUGUCCUACCGAUUUGUAGAAGUAUGCACUCGCGACAUCGGUGAGUCGCGAUUUAAUUGAUGCUGCUCGCGAAUUAAUUACGCGCUAGUAGUCGAGAAAAUUCCUGCAUCUCGGAUUAAGUUGAACGCUUUGAAGCGUGUCUGCGAUUACGUAGAUUACCGUCGUCCUCGAUGAGGAUAGAAUUCGUUUCUUUCAAGUCGCUCCAUUUCACGCGCUAAUAGGUUCGCGGUGUUUCGCGCACUCGUGUUACGCGACGUCGCGUUUACAGAUGCGAUUCACUUAAAAACCAAGCUCUGUCGUCAGCGGAUUUCAUUUUCUCUCUUUUUCUCUUCUGUCUUUUUCCUCCCCCGUCUUUUCUUUUUUUAUUUCACCGCGAAGCGACUCGAUUAUACCAACCGACUAAAGCUUGAUAUCAAAAGCAUUAUAGAUUCAGACGUAUCCAAGUAAGCGCGAGCGAAGACGAGGAAAAACGGAAAAAAGGAAAUUUCGCGACCCAGCUGAAAUAUCCCUUUAGAAUAUCAGCGGGUGAAAAUCUUUUUUCUUGAGUUACAAAGAAGCUCGGCGACGCGUUCUUCCUGAAAUAAAAUAACCGAUAAGUGAUCCGUGUCGGUGUGGACAGAGCCUUAACAUGAGAAACGAGAGGCCAAGUGAUCGCAUAAACGUAUUCGUGUCAAAAGCAGCUCCGGUCGAGACCCGAGUUAUCCUCUGACCCCACUCUGUCAUCUCGAACUUACUUCGCCUCCUCUUCGUAUCACCAAACCGUUAUUUUCGGCCAGGUUUCCCAUUUUCUUCCCGAUAUUCUUCCGGGCAAAUGAUUCGAAUACUUUACAUAUACAUUUUAAAACAAACAUAUGUACCUACUAGCUGAGAAUAAAGCGUUUCUAUGCAAGACUAGUUGAUAAUAUAUAAUUACAUCAUUUAAUAUGAUUAUAUGUUUUUAAUUAAACGAGGAUGACGGAAAAUAUCAACUCUUUUCGAACAUUUUCUUUCGCUCUGAUUUUUCUCUGCUUACCUUUUGAAACAAUAUCUUGACAAAAUUUUUAUUUGAUUUUCAUUCGGAUAAUCACCGGAAUUCAUCUUGAUUUCAAAAAAUUGCAAAAAUUGAUAAGCGUUUGCCAAUGAGGAUCUUGAAAUCUUCAAAUAGAAUUACUUAAAACACAUAAAUAAAUUUACUUUCCAAAAUUCUAUGCUACAGAUUUAAUAUAACAUUUCUGCACUAGUUAUUUCUAAGUGACCAUUUAUAAAAUAAUUUCAAUGCAAUAUACAUUUAAACAACAAUCACGCAAAUUUCUUCCCAUUUAAAAUGUUUUUCGCCUAUCCUAUUCUUAGCAUAACAUUUCCUCUCUAUCAAAGGUAGAAAUUCGCGUUUUUCCAUUUAAAAUAGAGAAACGUUUAAUAAAAUACCGCGACGGUUGGUGCACGGCAUUCUUUAGUAUCGAAUGCUUACGUAAUAAUACGUGGUCGCGUUGGCGCGUCUACUCCUACGAACCGUGCGCGUUCUAUAUCCACGGAAAUUCUCGAGCGCGGUGCAUCGGUGCACUUUAAAGCUCGCGGUUGUAUAUUUCCUCCCGUGCACCGAACACCUCGCACUUGAGCCUUGUCACAAUAAAACAUCGGUCGCGCUUCCGCGGCGUUGCUCGCUCACUGUCGCGAAACAAAAAUGUUUCGCCGCGGAACGUCGUGCAAUUAAGGACACAGAAUCCCUUGCCGAUAAACUUUGUAACGUAAGCCCUGACUAAGUUUAAUCGUUUAGUCCGUAUCGCUUUUACGCUUGGAAAAAAUUAAACAGCUGUUCUAUUUAAAUGAUACAUUUACAGCGACAUAGUAAUUUUGCAGAUAGGUAUAAGAAUAGUUAUGAAAAAUAUCCUUGUUUACCUGAAUGAAAAUUUGCUUGUUAUCGUAAAUUCACGAUAAAUCCAGACUCGACGCGAGACCUCUUAAGGACUUCGUAGCAGGGUUAUAUAUCAAUCACAGAGAAAGCUAAUAGGGGAAUGGAGCAAGACAACAUCCUCACGUGAGAAAUUCAUGGAAAACGUGGUAUCUUUCACGCGUGCCGCGUGAACACGUGCAUCCUCAAAAUAGAACGCAAAUAUUGUUGACGCGAAAUGGGAAUUAAUAGAGAGGAUCUGAAAUACUGAAAAGACAAAUACAGAUGUGGCGUAUCUACUGUUCUGCAUGCAAACAGCCAUAUUGACAAUAAGCCUUCGAUAAGCGAAGCAUUUGCGUGCAUGCAUACGUUCAAUCAUUGAUGAUUGCUACAAGAGCAAACGAAUGUAAUAACGAUUUUACGUAAUAAUCAGCCUGAUAGGAUGCAUUCGUUUCUGUCAUACCUAUCAUAAAAAUUGCUGGUUGAAAUCCUAUUAUUGGAUAUGAUCGUUUACGACCUUGUGUAUGGAUUCACGUGCGUAGGAUGUUUGGCCAGUCAGUGAAACAACUACACAUUCUCGGGGAUCAGUAGAUGUUUCCUGUAAUGAACAGACUCUACUGUUCAUAGGACGACAUAUGUAUUUCUUUAACUUGUUUUUAUUAUGGACUUUUGUUGACUUUUUUUUAUUAUGGAAUAAUUGUUUAAUUUACCAUUCAUUUAUAUAUUUUUAAUUGAAUUUUAAAAAAGUUGGUCAAAUAUUAAAAAGUACUAUGAAAAGGGAAUAGAAUUAUGCUUUGUGAUAUUGUAAAAUAUAUUAAUAUUCAAUUAAUUUAUAUAAAAGUUGAAAUAUAAGAAUAAUAAAUUA